UUCCUUGUCGGGUAAGUUCCGACCCGCACGAAAGGUGUAACGAUCUGGAUACUGUCUCAGAGAGAGACUCGGUGAAAUAAAACUAUCUGUGAAGAUGCGGAUUACCUGCACACGGACAGAAAGACCCUAUGAAGCUUUACUGUAACCUGGAAUUGCUCUCAAGCUUAUCUUGCGCAGCUUAGGUGGGAGGCUAUGAACCUUUUCUUCUGGGAAGAGGGGAGCCAUCAGUGAGAUACCACUCUUGGUAAGCUAGAGCGCUCAGUCUUCACCGUCAUCCGGUAAGACGACAGUUUCAGGCGGGCAGUUUGACUGGGGCAGUCACCUCCCAAAAGGUAAUGGAGGUGUGCAAAGGUUCCCUCAGGCUGGACGGAAAUCAGCCAUAGAGUGUAAAAGCAAAAGGGAGCUUGACUGCGAGACUGACAUGUCAAGCAGAGACGAAAGUCGGCUUUAGUGAUCCGACGGUGCUGUGUGGAAAGGCCGUCGCUCAACGGAUAAAAGUUACUCUAGGAUAACAGGCUAAUCUCCCCCA
rnacentral:rRNA from 13 species